UACGUAGGGACCGAGCGUUGUCCGGAAUCAUUGGGCGUAAAGAGCGUGUAGGCGGCCACUUAAGUCCUGCGUGAAAUCCUGCGGCUCAACCGCAGGCGGUCGUGGGAAACUGGGUGGCUAGAGUGCGGGAGAGGAGAGUGGAAUUCCUGGUGUAGCGGUGGUAUGCGCAGAUAUCAGGAAGAACACCCGUGGCGAAGGCGGCUCUCUGGAACGCAACUGACGCUGAGACGCGAAAGCGUGGGGAGCAAACAGG
rnacentral:rRNA from 1 species